CGCGUGCCUGCGAUGGGUAUGUAGGUAGAAGGUUAAGAGAUAUCCCCAAAUAUAGUACGUCAACAGAUGAUAAAAAUUCUGGCUGAAUCAUGAUUCCGGCCCAGAUGGAAUUUUUCCCGCGCAAAUAGUAUAAAAAAGCGCGAAAACAAAGACCUUUGCAGACGAUAUUUCUGACUCUAACCGGACCCACUGCAUCAUGAAGUUCCUCGUUGUUGCUCUCGUGCUGGCCGUUCUGGCUAAUGCAGAGGCCAAGCCCAAGAUGGCCGCCCAGCCACGCAUCACCUGCGAUCUUCUGAGCUUCUCCUUCGGAGGAGCCAGCUUCGGAGACGCCGCAUGCGCAGCUCACUGCCUUGUGUUGGGCAACCGUGGCGGAUACUGCAAUGGGGAAAAUGUCUGCGUUUGCCGCAAUUGAGCAGAAGAGUCAUUAAAGUGGCCGUCGUCAUGGAGACCGCCUGUCAACAAAAACAACUCUUGAUCCGACAUCUGAAUAAAUCAGUCUUCAAUCA